rnacentral:lncRNA from 1 species
UAUUCAUGAUUUUUAUUUGGCUUAUUGAUGUGUUUAACCCUUGCAAUUAGGCGGCAUUUAAAAAUUCGUCCCUGUAAUUGCUAAUCCUGACAUUUUAACCCUGCAAUUGUUAAUCAUUUAAAAUUUCGUCCCUCUCCCCACUUAAUCACUGCCACGCCACAUGAAAUUCCAAAUUUACCCCUGGGUUUCCAAUUCUUUCUUCAAUAUUUUGUCCUCUUCUUAAGGGCAAAAUUGUAAUUUCAUGUGUGACAGUGAUUGCCACGUCAUCAAAUUAGUGACGUGGCAGUGAUUAAUUUGGUCCAAGGACCAAAUUUUAAACGAUUAACAAUUGCAGGGUUAAAAUGCCAGGAUUAACAAUUACAGGAACGAAUUUUUAAAUGCCGCCUAAUUGCAAGGGCUAAACACAUCAAUAAGCCUUUUUAUUUUUAUUUUCUCCGAAAAUUUCGGUUGAGCUGCACUACUCAAUUGCUUAUGCAUAUUAUGUAUUUUGACCAACAUCGAGGGACUAAAAUAUGAUGGAAUAUCUUCCUCCUUUGCAUGUGAAGUUCCCUCAUGAGCCAAAGGGUUCUUCUUUGUAGAAUUUAGGUUUAUUGGUUGUUACACUUUCGAAACAUAAACCGUAGAUAAACUAGCAUUUCUUAUGGUGAACACAAUCUUCUUCACGUAGUGGUCUUGGCAAGUUUCCGCAUUGUGGCCAUAUUUUCCACAAUGCCACAACUAAAACACGCAAUAUGUAUGUAAUCCUUCAUGUUCAAUAGUAAAAACAAAACCUAAAACAUUCACAAUGAACUUUAAAAUGAUUUUCUUAUCAAGAUCCCUUUUCACACAAAUACGUGCAAAUCGACCACGAAAUUGACUAGAUGUCAAGUGGUCCAUGUUCAGCAUAUUACGUAAUGUCCCUCUAACACGCCAGAGUUUGACAUCUUAUCU